rnacentral:rRNA from 16 species
CGGUGGAUGCCUAGGCAGUCAGAGGCGAUGAAGGACGUAGUAGCCUGCGAAAAGCCUCGGGGAGGCGGCAAACAGCCAUUGAUCCGGGGAUGUCCGAAUGGGGAAACCCACCCAGCAUAAGCUGGGUAUCCUCACCUGAAUACAUAGGGUGCAGGAGGCGAACUCAGGGAACUGAAACAUCUAAGUACCUGAAGGAAAAGAAAUCAACCGAGAUU